rnacentral:rRNA from 1 species
UACGUAGGGUGCGAGCGUUGUCCGGAAUUAUUGGGCGUAAAGAGCUCGUAGGCGGUUUGUCGCGUCGGCCGUGAAAACUUGGGGCUUAACCCCAAGCCUGCGGUCGAUACGGGCAGACUUGAGUUCGGCAGGGGAGACUGGAAUUCCUGGUGUAGCGGUGGAAUGCGCAGAUAUCAGGAGGAACACCGGUGGCGAAGGCGGGUCUCUGGGCAGUAACUGACGCUGAGGAGCGAAAGCGUGGGGGAGCGAACAGG